rnacentral:rRNA from 1 species
GAUGAACGCUGGCGGCGUGCCUAAUACAUGCAAGUCGAGCGAACGGACGAGAAGCUUGCUUCUCUGAUGUUAGCGGCGGACGGGUGAGUAACACGUGGAUAACCUACUUAUAAGACUGGGAUAACUUCGGGAAACCGGAGCUAAUACCGGAUAAUAUUUUGAACCUCAUGGUUCAAAAGUGAAAGACGGUCUUGCUGUCACUUAUAGAUGGAUCCGCGCUGCAUUAGCUAGUUGGUAAGGUAACGGCUUACCAAGGCAACGAUGCAUAGCCGACCUGAGAGGGUGAUCGGCCACACUGGAACUGAGACACGGUCCAGACUCCUACGGGAGGCAGCAGUAGGGAAUCUUCCGCAAUGGGCGAAAGCCUGACGGAGCAACGCCGCGUGAGUGAUGAAGGUCUUCGGAUCGUAAAACUCUGUUAUUAGGGAAGAACAUAUGUGUAAGUAACUGUGCACAUCUUGACGGUACCUAAUCAGAAAGCCACGGCUAACUACGUG